rnacentral:rRNA from 1 species
GUAGGUGGCAAGCGUUGUCCGGAAUUAUUGGGCGUAAAGCGCGCGCAGGCGGUUCUUUAAGUCUGAUGUGAAAGCCCACGGCUCAACCGUGGAGGGUCAUUGGAAACUGGAGAACUUGAGUACAGAAGAGGAAAGCGGAAUUCCACGUGUAGCGGUGAAAUGCGUAGAGAUGUGGAGGAACACCAGUGGCGAAGGCGACUUUCUGGUCUGUAACUGACGCUGAGGCGCGAAAGCGUGGGGAGCAAACAGGAUUAGAUACCCUGGUAGUCCACGCCGUAAACGAUGAGUGCUAAGUGUUAGGGGGGUUUUCCGCCCCCCUUAGUGCUGCAGCUAACGCAUUAAGCACUCCGCCUGGGAGUACGGCCGCAAGGCUG